UACGUAGGGUGCAAGCGUUGUCCGGAAUUAUUGGGCGUAAAGAGCUCGUAGGCGGUCUGUUGCGUCGGCUGUGAAAACCCGGGCUCAACCCGGGCCUGCAGCCGAUACGGGCAGACUAGAGUUCGGCAGGGGAGACUGGAAUUCCUGGUGUAGCGGUGAAAUGCGCAGAUAUCAGGAGGAACACCGAUGGCGAAGGCAGGUCUCUGGGCCACUACUGACGCUGAGAAGCGAAAGCAUGGGGAGCGAACAGG
rnacentral:rRNA from 1 species